CUGAGCGUGUGCAAUGUUGUAAUAGAGGUACAAGCAACACAGGGAUAGGGAGAAGGUGAUCCACAUUGCAGGGGCCUAAUUACAGGGGGCCCUGAAUGCCAAGCCAAGACUUGGAAAAUUAGAAGGUCUACAAGGACUCCAGAACUCUCCAGGAGUGAUGAAAGAUGGUGUCUUAGCCUGGGUUUCUGCAACAAGCAGAGCCUAGCACAACAUGGUGGUUUACUUUGAAAAGUGAUCCCAAGAAACAGGAGUGAGAGGCUCGGAAGAGUCAAACGGAAAGAGGACAAGCCAACCAAGGCUGUGCCUGGGUGCAUCACGAUUCACCUAAAAAUCACCACUGAAAUCCGCAGCAGGCAAUUGUGCCAGACAACAGGUGAUGACGGGGGCAAACACGACUCAGCUUCUGCCUGCAGCAUCUACAGUCAUGGAAGGAGACCUCCGUGAAAGUGUGGUGUUUGCUGUGAGAGGGAGCAGACGCUCACUGCCAUAGAUCUCAGAGACCACCAAGGCUGAAUAAGCUGAACAACGCAUGCGGAAAGUCCACAGGCCUGCACACCAAUGGCCACAGCCUGUUCUCUCCCUGCAGGUAGGACACUCAUGCGGUACCACCCUUCCUGAGGACACCUUCCUUCCAUUGCCUGGACAGCAGCAUCCUGCCCUGGGCCACCCUCCAUGUGGAUGCCCUUCCCACUUCCCCAGGGCACUGACUCCAAGCGCAAGGUGCCCUUGCAAUAGACACUCUCCUCACCCCUCUAGUUCUGCCAUCCUGCCCUGGGCCACCUUCUGUGUAGACCCCUCCUCACCCCACUGAGGGUCUGAGUCUCCGUGCCAGGACAUCCUCCCUGGACAGGACCCCCUUCGGACCCUGCUUUGGUCUCCGACACAUGCUGGGCUGCCCCCUCCUAUGUUGGCACCCUCCUCGCUCCACAUGGGCAACCUCACACUGGACCACCGCCCUUGUGUGAGCCUCUAUCUCACCCCGGUGGACUCCACCCUCCUGCUCUGGGCACGCUACUUCCUCCCCACUCAGCUACAGAGGCCUGCCUUGCUCUACCUUACCUAAUGGCUUCUGAACAGAAUUUUCUAGAAGGGAGAGGAAGAAGCAUCGAGCUGGUUCUCUUGGCCUGUUCCUGGAUCCCAUCCUUCUCCUUUGUUCCCGGCUCCUCCAUUCUCUAGGAAUCUCAAUCUCUUCCGGCAUUGCUGAGUUCUCAAGGUAGGUGAGGUUUUUGCUGGCUUCCUGCAGGGCUUCCUCUGUCUCCUACCCCAUUCCUGCACCAUCUCUGAUGGCCUGGAGCUCUCCAAGGGCCAAAGCCAUGUGGGUUCUGCGGGAAACUCUGGAAGAAUGCCUCUGCUCAACAUCUUACUUCGUCACAGUUGGCCAGAGAAUUCCCCAAUCAGUGUGCUGCCUGGGCUCCAUGUUUCACGGAGUUUGGAGUCAAACAGCUUUUACAGGAUGCCUGUAGCAGCUCUGCUCUCACCCUCCUCCUUCCCUCCACAAUCUGGAUUGGGAGACAAACCUGACUGGCAGACAGCGCCAUGCAUGUGGGAUUUCCUCCCAUAUCCCAGCUUAGGCCUUGCACUGACCAAUUCAAGCUUAUAGUGCCCUCAUUCCUGUCCUCUUAAAAUAAUUAAUCUCCCUGGCUCUCAUACAAACAAACUUCUGGUUGCCCACCACCACCCAUUCUAGACCUUUUAAAAGCCCAAUUGUGGGCACAGCUUGGGCUUACGAGGGACGUCCUUCAACUAUCUGGCUGAGCAUGCUUCUCUUACACUGUUCUCCCUCCCCUCAGUGUGCCCUGUGUGCCAAAGCAGCGUCCAUGUUUUGUUACCCACCCGUUG
rnacentral:lncRNA from 1 species